rnacentral:misc_RNA from 1 species
GAUGAAGAACGUAGCGAAAUGCGAUAAGUAAUGUGAAUUGCAGAAUUCAGUGAAUCAUCGAAUCUUUGAACGCACAUUGCGCCCGCCAGUAUUCUGGCGGGCAUGCCUGUUCGAGCGUCAUUACAACCCUCAGGCCCCCGGGCCUGGCGUUGGGGAUCGGCGGAAGCCCCCUGCGGGCACAACGCCGUCCCCCAAAUACAGUGGCGGUCCCGCCGCAGCUUCCAUUGCGUAGUAGCUAACACCUCGCAACUGGAGAGCGGCGCGGCCACGCCGUAAAAGAAACGAACUUUCUCAAGGUUGACCUCGGAUCAGGUAGGAAUACCCGCUGAACUUAAGCAUAUCAAUAAGCGGAGGA